CCCACCUCGGCCUCCCAAUGUGCUGGGAUUACAGGCAUGAGACACCGCACCCGGCCAGUCUCAGAUAUGGCUGUAUAGAAUUUUUCACUAAGAGUUAUGGAUGCUGGAACCUACCCAGGUUUGAUUUCCUGCUCUGCCAUUCAUUAAUUGUCUGACUUGGGCAAGGCAAGUCACUUAACCCAUGCCUGUUUCCUAAUGUGUAAAUUAGGACAAUAACAUCUAGUUCGUAGGGUUUUUUUGUUGUCCAUUGCUUCUUUUUUACCUUUAAAUGAGUUAUUAUGUUUAAAGCACACUAAACACUGCCUGGCACAUAGUGUUUGAUAACUAUUAACUAUAUUGCUGUCAGGUUAAAUGAUUAAGUCACAAA
rnacentral:lncRNA from 10 species